UACAUGGGGUGCAAACGUUGCUCGGAAUUAUUGGGCGUAAAGCGCGCGUAGGCGGUUACUUAAGUCGGAUGUGAAAGCCCUCGGCUUAACUGAGGAAGUGCACCCGAAACUGAGUAGCUGGAGUACGAAAGAGGGUCGCGGAAUUCCCGGUGUAGUGGUGGAAUGCGUAGAUAUCGGGAGGAACACCAGUGGCGAAGGCGGCUUCCUGGACCAGAGCUGACACUGAGGCGCGAAAGCGUGGGGAGCGAUCCGG
rnacentral:rRNA from 1 species